UACAGAGGGUGCAAGCGUUAAUCGGAAUUACUGGGCGUAAAGCGUGCGUAGACGGUUAUGUAAGUCAGAUGUGAAAGCCCCGGGCUCAACCUGGGAAUUGCAUUUGAGACUGCAUAGCUAGGGUGCGGAAGAGGGAAGCGGAAUUUCCGGUGUAGCAGUGAAAUGCGUAGAUAUCGGAAGGAACACCAGUGGCGAAAGCGGCUUCCUGGUCCAGCACCGACGUUCAGGCACGAAAGCGUGGGGAGCAAACAGG
rnacentral:rRNA from 1 species